CUUGUAUUUGCUUAUAAAAGUCUCAGUUACAUAUUCCUGAAACUUUCCAUGCCUUUCAGCUAAAUGAGUUGACACUAAGCAAAGAUACUAAAUAAUGUAGAAAAUGCUGAUUGUGCAUUUAUAAACCAGAAAGCACUAAUAACUUUACCCAGAUAAUUUGAUACCUAUAUAAUAAAUAAAAUAAAAUUAAUUUUAUUCUACUUUAUUUUGUAGAUUUUUCUGAAAAAAAAAAAAAAAGAAGAGAACUACGUUCAGCAAGCUUUCUGCAUAAGAUGGCAUUAAGGAUUGAAAUGAACUUUGGAAAAACAUUUAAAGUGGCUUGGCAAGAGAAGUUUUGUUGCUUUGCAAGAAGAUGCAUGUGAGAUAUGUAUUGCCAUCUGCAGAAGGGAUCAGAUUAAGGAAAGAAAGAAUCAGCUCCUCAGUAAUGCACUGCAAGACCUGUGUAUGUUGUCCUGUUACCGAGAAGCAGCAUAACUGUGGCAGUCGAGGACUGUUUAUGGUGCUUUAACAGAUUUUAAAAUGCUCCAGCAUCAGCAGUGCACAAAGGAUAUUUCAAAUACAUCGUGACUGAGUUCUGACACGUUGCUUAUAAAGCACAUGAGGAUGGAGGCUGUGAUCCAGGAACAUGUAGGCACAGUUUCCAGAAAGUCAAGUCCAGCCAUUGGAGCACUCAGAAGAGGGAACAGAAUGGGCACUUUGCAGUUGUCUCCUCUGCCCAAUAGCCGAAUGGACAAAUUCUUCUUUCUUCCUCUCCUGUUGUUGAUGAGGUUACCCGAUUACUCACCUGUGCCUGUAAGAACUUUCUGGACUACUCGAAGACAGAACAUAUAUGCCUAAAGUGCUUGCUGAAUAACCGACGACUAAGGAGAGAUCUUGCUAGAGGGAAGAGUCUGGAGGAAAGUAACAGAAAAACCAUCUUGAUUUUCCUGGGCUAGGUUUAAAGCUUAUAUUUUGGGCAGAGGAUGAUUACUUAUCAUGAUCUGGAGAGGGAUGUUUAGCUCAGAGACAGGACAUCAGCUAAUACAAGUAAUAUUCAAGAAAACUAUCUUGUAGGUGUUCACUUGAGCAGUAUUUAUGAAUGACUGUCUAUUUAAAUAAUUUCUGUUUUACUGCACAUUGUUACAGCUCCUGCAUUCUGAUAAUGAUGGUGUGCUAAUAUGAGCUAGCUGCUUGUAUAAGCUGCUUAUAAGUGCUCAUAUAAGCUGCUCAUAAGUGUUGUGGGGUGGGGAGACAUUAGUGGGGAACAUACUCUUCAUCGUGUAGAUGGUUUUUACUGUGUGUGACAAUUAACAGUGCUUUAGUCCAGAAGUUAAAAAGAAAAAAAAAAAGAAUCCCCCAGUCCUUUUAAAUUGUUAUUACAGCUUCAAGGGGCACAUGAGAAAGAAGGCUCCUCCUUUUGUGCAUAAAGAUUCUCAAAAUUGUUCUUGGGGUUCUGAACUCUCUGAGCUGCUAUGAAGUCUAAAAAAAGAAUGCUUUUGGUGCAGAGGAGAUAAACAAAAUUGGGGAGGAUAUUAAUAACCUGUGACUAAAUGCUAAGUGGGUUAUGAUUCUGACACAUUUAGAUAUGGUAGACAUUUAAGAUAUAAGCAUUGUCAGUCUAAUUAUUGCAAAAUAAUUACAACUGUUGAAGGUGAAGCUCAGGAAGUGUGAAGUGCAUUCAAGAAUUGGAGUUCCCUGGAGAUGUGAUUAGCUCACAAUCACCUUCCCUAGAGUUCUGCUAGGAGAUGUUUUGUGUAAGAAAAGAAAGGUCUGACAGAUAAACAGUGGUUUCGUCUGAGUUACAAAUUAUUACAGGCUGAUUGAUCUGAGUAGAAAACUGUCCAACAAAUCAAGAAUC
rnacentral:lncRNA from 1 species